rnacentral:rRNA from 1 species
AGGGAUAACCGCUGAAAGCAUCUAAGCGGGAAGCCCACUCCAAGAUUAGAUAUCCCGUGGGGUAAUACCCACCUAAAGGCUCGUUGAAGACUACAACGUCGAUAGGCCAGGUGUGGAAGUGUAGCGAUACAUGGAGCUUACUGGUACUAAUCAGCCGUGCGGCUUAACCAUAU